rnacentral:lncRNA from 1 species
UGACAGCGUUUGCAAUCCUAUUAUCUGCUAAUAUACAACAAAAUGAUAUUUAUUUCUUUUCCCCACUAAUUUGCAUAUAUAACGUUAUUAUUGUAAUAUACUCAGUAUAUAAUUUUGCUUUUGAGCUUUGUAUGUAGUUCCAAAUCUAGCAUCGUAUGUUCCAUGCAAAGCAUACAAAAAAGGCUAUUGUAAUAAAGAUGUAAAUUGACUUGAUUGGCCAGCAUUGGGCAUAGUAGUAGUUGCAAUAUUUUCUUUUGGGAACUUUUGAAGAAGUUGAAAAAUCUGUGGACGUUUAGUCAUUUAAUUUGGAUUUUAGCCUUAUCAGCCCAGUAAUUCGACAUUAGUUGGGAGAGCUACUCAUGUACCCUGCUCUAGCCUCCACCUCUGGCAACCCUUUGGCCCCCACUCCCCUGUUCUGACAUCCCACGCUCGCCACCGAGAGGCCAAAAUUACUGUUCUGACAUUUCUUCUGGAUUUGACCUUUUUUCUAUCCCUGUUGUCUGUGGCGGUAGGGUAACACUACUUAUGGCCAUGGUCAAUGGCAGUAGGUACCUGCCCAAUGUGUCUGCGCCGUCAUGGUGCUUGUUGAUGUGGAUAAGCGACCACCGCCAGGGAUUGCGGCGGUAGCCUGUUAUACCUUACUGCUAGGCUCGAUGGCAGUAGGCUGGAAGUAGGCCCCCGAGAGGUAAGUGGUCGACGGGGUGGUGUGGGGUCUACCCAGCCACCCACCCAUUCUCUCGAGCAGGCUCUCCCCUGUUUCUCCCGAACAGAGAGGAGGUGACUCUCUCCUCUGCAAUCCCCCCUUCGAUCUCCCUCGUUUAGGCAUCAUUUUGGUCGAUUUGUCCUCCCCAACGUAGAGCAAGGUAUUCUUCAUCCUUUACUCCAAUUAUUUUGUAUCAAAUCUUUGUAUUUCGGAUGCAUUUUAUACCACUAGGUGCACCCUAGUUUCUCUUGUUUGGAAGUUUGUCAUGUUAAAGUUGUUUAGUAUGGAUAUUAGGUAUAUAAUGUGUGGAUGAAUGAAUGGAUAGAUUGUAUGGGAUAUGUUGGAGUAGUUUUUUUUAAUGUGUAUGGACGCAUGGAUGGAUAAGUUGCAUGGAUAUAUUGGAGUUGGUUUAAUUUCAAUGUGUAUGGAUAGAUUGUUAGUGGAUGAACGCAUAUGUAUGGAUAUAUAUACAUUGGAAUGUGUAUGCAAUGCGUAUGGAUGAACAUGAUUGUUUGUAUAUGUAUGAAUAUACAGAUAUGUGAUGAAUGGAUAUUUAUGCAUAUGUUGUGAAUUGACAUAUAGGUUGUAAACAUUUUUCCCUAUGUUUUCAAUGUGUAUGGAUAUAAAGAUUGCAAUUCAUAUGUACGGAUUAUGUUGUCAAGUAUGGAUGUUGUCAAAUCUCUACUACCUAAAAGGCUUACGUUCCCCUCCCUUCGUCCAACCUCUCCUACGACCCCCUUUCACCUCAAUCGGUUUUCUUUUCUCCCCACCGGUUUUCCCCUGCUGGUUUUCUCCUUGGUUUUCUAUUCCUUUCUUAACAGGUAAUCAAUUUAUGUAUGGUAACUAGUCGCAAUUAAUUCGUGCAUGGUAUGGUAGUACUCCCUCUAUUUCCUCCCCCGCCUGAUUUUCUAUUUAAUCAGUUUUUAUUUUUCUAGAUAAAACAGGAUCAAUCUUUGGCAACUCAUUCAAUUAUUAUAUGGUAUAAUUGAUCUCUUCUUUGGCAAUGUAUAACGCAAUCAAUUCACAUCAAUCACGGGCAUAUUCUUUUAUUCCGUAUCUUGGUUUAUUUCCUGCCUUUUCUGCUAUUGAUUUUUUUCUCUCCAUAAAUAUCUCUUCCUUCCUUUCCAGAUUUCAUCUCAUUCAUCUGAUGAUCGUGUGCCCGCCGCGCUAGGGUACGCAAGACACUACCUGCACCGUUGCUACGAUCAUGCUCGCACCGCGCCGGGAGGCCACCAUCCUCCUCGAGGAGAAUAGGCCGGAGCACCAUGACCAGGGAAGAUCGUGGUGUUGUUGAGUACUCGCCUCGAAUCUACGCCAGCAGUGCGGGACAGCCAAGGCCCACCAAACCCGCAUCGCCUCUGCGCACCUACGUUGAUUGCCGCCGCCGAGCGUCAUCGCCCUGAGGAUCACUGCCGAACCAGGCCUCCCACCAGCGUCUUCCACCUGUUCAUGAUUGGACGGCGGACUCAGCCUUCUGCCCUACCCCAUCGCGGCGUAAAACCGUCACCAAACGUUUUUCAGCACCGAGCCACCGAGAGACGGGAAGCAAGAAGAUGUCCUUGGAGGUCGUGCAGCUUUUCUGAAGGACGGAGUUGGCCAGACCCCAUCCUCCCGGGCAAAACGACUAGCCGAGCCUCAACUCCUGGAGACGGCGGCGAGCGGUGUGACAGAGGUCCUCAAUGUUUUAUAAACUGCUUUCCUGUUUACAACUUUCUGCUAAGUUUCGUGCCUGCUUGAUUGACAUAUGUAAUGUGCCUUUUCCUUGGUAUAGUUACGAGGAUCUGCAUGAUGGCGAGCUAGCCUGCAUGAUGCAGUCAUGUACGUUACGGGCAAUGGCCUGAUGGCGAGCUAGCUUUUUCCUUAAUUGCUUCAAUGUUCCUCUUCCUCUUUGUCAGGGUCAUCCCAUGAAUAUAUUUACUCCUGAAAAUCAGGCGCUCAAUACACACUGACUAUUAUUUGUACUGCAGAAAACGUAAAUCAUUUAUGAGCUAGAAGGAACUCAUCAUUCUAAUAAUCCGGUUGUACUCUUAGUUAGAGGUUGGAUUUUUUUUCUUGUAAAUAUCCUUGUAAGACUAGCAAUAUUUAUAUUCCCAUGCUUUUUCCAGUAUAUACUAUCUAAGUUGGUUAAUUCUUUUCACAACAUUCUUAUGUCUAUUGUUUUCGUCACAAGAAUUUAUUAUUUAGUCUAGCAGGGUGUUAUGUAUUUGCAUGAUUGUGCCCAGCAUUAGGGUUAGUUUGUUGAUAAAUGAAAAAAAGAACUUGUAUGGCUACUAAGAUACAGAAGAACAAGAUGAGGCCUUGCUUUUGCAUCAUCACCAAUAAUCUCUACUCCUAAUGAAGAACUUCGUACGUCGUUCGUUUGUUACCUUCCUCCCACACCGAUCGAAGGAUUUGCCUAAACAUCGGUUGUCUCCCUCCCACAGAUUUUCUUUCAAAAACCGCAUGCAACUUGGCAUCCACCCGGUUUAUUGCGUCAAAAAAUUGCCCGUAGCGCUCCUUCAUUAUCAAUGGAUCCCACCAAUUACGCUCCUUCCAAUUACGUCUCCUGUCCCCCGUUUCUGGGAGGAUGGGGUUUUAACCAAGUAUAUCCCAAAGUAUAUCCUGAUGGGAAAAUCAGAACGCUAUACCCCUUUCCCUGAUAACAACAUAUAUAUCCCAAGAAAAUUUGAACACAAUCCUAAUUGACUCGAUGGAUUGACUUCAUCCAUAGAGAGAGGGGGGGGGGGGCAGAGGAGAGCAACGCCGCAUCCUGGACGAGGAUCCGCCGCAUCUCGCCGACGAUCCCCGCUGCCGUAACGACGGGUGAGGACGUUAGCACGAGAAAGGUUCACGCGUUCAUGAUCUUGUCUUGCAGUUGCCUGCCUUGCCGCCAGCGACGCCAACACCAUGUGCUUCAUGACGGCGAUGGCAUCGAGGACGUGCCAAACAAGCUAUCUCCACGAUCGGAGAUUCAUGCAAGUAUUCUUGUUCUGCUGCAAAAUCGAUCAGGUCCAGCCAACGUUUAGGUCAAGCUUUGAAACAAUCAAGAGAAUGGAAACCUUACUCAUGUCAAGUACUAAGCUUCAUCUAGAUCCGGCACAAGUGUUUUGCUGCUGGCCGAAACAAUCAAAACUAGAAAAACCUACAACCCGUGGCAUCUCAAGUUCGGUGCAGUGUGCUUCCUCAGCCAAACUAGGUAUCAAGAGUGUUUUUUUCUUCAGGUUUCAGAGCUUUAGCUUGUAGUGACCUCGGUUGUUAAGAUAUUAUUAAGAGUGUUUUUUCCUCAGGUUUCGGAGCUUUCAAUGCUAAGAGAAAUUCUUCGAUGAGUGUAUUUAUGGCUUGAGGCAAGUGCACUUCGACCUUCUUGUAUGGUUUGACCGUCGUUGGGUUGCGUUCAAUGGCUUACCCAUGGUUGUGUUGCAUUCGGUGGUUUGUUUGUUCUUGGUUGACUUGGUUACCAAAUUCUUGGGUUUUAGUGUUUCUCUUUUUUUAGCCCGGUGCGGUGAGAACCGCUCCACCUAUGAUACUCCAUUUUGGUUGGUGAAAUUCUGCUACAUUUGUGCUACUCUGUUGUGUUAGAGCCUGGUGCGGUGAGAACUGACUAGCCUCCGUGCCAACCUUGCAAUGCCCGACGCUCCCUUGAGUUCGAGCUCGACCCCAUUCCUUCUCCCAUGAUGUAUGGUGGCGGCGGCGACACUGCCUCCCCUCAGCGCGGAAGAGACCGCCGGGGUGUCCAACAUCGCCUUUAGAGGCCUUCCGGAGACACGCCUCGGGGGGUAUACAGUGGGCCAGGGUGGACACGGUCCCGGUCCGAGCCGUUGUUUGGACCGGCCGCCGACGGAAGGUCCGGACGGAACCGGACUGAGCAUCAUGACGGUCCUGAUUUCAGGGACCGGACCGGCGGCGGCCAAGCCUGGAUUCGACCGAGUGACCGGCCAACAACCACCGGUGCCGACUUGCACGGAUGCAACGGCUAGAUGUGCGACUUGCGCAGCACCGGCGGCAGUGGCGGAGACAGGCCUGGGGCAGCUAGGGCUAUAGCCCCAGGCCUACAAACAACUUCCUUUAUAAUUUUUUCAUGCAAAGUAUAGAAAAUCAUAGAAGUUUAUCAUUCAACAUAGUAUAGCCCCAGGCGUAGUCUGCAUCUAGCUCCGCCAAUGACCGGCGGCAAGGUGGGCGACAUGUGAGCACCAGUGGCAAGGUGGGGGACGUGUGCGCUGGGCGGCGCACCUGUUAUCCAUGAACCUGCACAUAUUUGUUCAUUAGCAGUUUUUUCUAUUGCAUGCAAGUACUGUAGCACGCAUAUGAGGCCACAAUUUUAUGUUUAUGGGCCUUUCCGUGAUUAGAGGAUCAGAGCUGACGUCGAGUUCUUCCUCAAAUGGCGCCAUGAUUUUCGAAUCAAAUCGUGUUUCCCUUGUAUUUUUGGUUUCCUGCUCGACUGAAUAAAAGGAAACUGAACCGGGGUGAUGGCCCAUGAUUAUAGGAAGUGGGCACUAUUAGGGCACGUACAAUGAUUGAUAAGAUGGUUUUAUCUUAAGUCUUGCAUGUAAUCUAGAAAUGACAAAAAAAAGAUGUCUACGAUGGAUCAUCUCUUAGCUUUAUUCUCAAUAAUUAGUUAUUCCUAAAAACAUGGUGAAACAUAUUGUGCUAAGAUAUCAUCUCUUGUUUUCUCUUAAAUAAGAGAAGAUAAACCUUUUCUUAUGAUUUCUCUCUCCUCCACAUCAUCAUUUAUCCUACGUGGCAUUGCUAAGAUAGAACCAUUGUGCAUGCCCUUAUAUCUACUCCUUGCAUUUUCAAAAAAUACUUGCCUGAUUGUGUUGGAUGCGAAAAUCAUGGCUGAUCGUGCGUGUUGUGCUGAAACGGCUGCCAUGGCAGCUCUUCCAAGAAAACAAUAUUUUCUGCCAUUGUGCAUGCCCUUAUAUCUACUCCUUGCAUUUUCAAAAAAUACUUGCCUGAUUGUGUUGGAUGCGAAAAUCAUGGCUGAUCGUGCGUGUUGUGUUGAAACGGCUGCCAUGGCAGCUCUUCCAAGAAAACAAUAUUUUCUGACGAAACUGAAGAAAAUUGUAUUGUCUGAAGAAACUGAAUUCUAACAGCUUAUGGCUACAUCUGACGAAACUAUAUUUUGUGAAACUUCGACAGCAGUUGUAAACUGGCAUGGUUGACGGCGGCCAGACGUGGAGGAGGCAGUCUACUACGGGCAGGUGAAGACGGCGACGGUCGACGGCCGGCAGGUGCAGCGCUCCCUACACUGUUCCUCCACUACUCCUUUCGCGCAGGUCGUCACUCGGAUUGUCGGUCUGCUCGGUCAAAAACAGGACAGGACCGAAGCUUUGAUGGGCCUGAUUCUUGAGCUCGGACCGACUAAUUAUUUUACGUGGCUAGGACCGUUCAGUCCGGUCCUUAGCGGGCCGCAAACCGGGCCAAAGGCCCGCUCGCCACGUCCAGCCUGAACGGUGGGUCAGUGACGUGAGCAACAUGGAGAUUCAGUUUCAUGAUGAGAUGUGAUUUUCAAUAUCUGGUUAUGAUUGGAUUUGGUUUGUAGGUUUGGGAACUGAAAUUCGUAUCUUGCAGCAACGAAAUUGGAUGGAUUGAAACCUUGAAGUUGAACAUGAAGGCACAUUCAUGUAUAGAAAAUUGUCGACCAGGAAUUUUCAUUUGGUGUUCAGCUAUCAUACAGUUCCGGUGAAGGUUUCAGGCAGGCAAGCAUCGGGAUGCACAAAGCUGGACCAAGCGGGCAUCGUCGUGAGGCAGGUGGGAGGCGUGAGGGGAGGGGAGACGUCGGUGGUCGGAGGCACGAGGGGUCGACAGCGGCGUCGGAGCCGCUGCUCAUCGACGUUGGGCUGAUGGACUGCCCUGCAGCGGGUGCGGACCCGUUCACGGGCUCUGGCGACGCCUCUGUCGACAGCCUGGUGCUCGACGUGGCUGCGAUAUCGGUCAGGGCUCCAAGCCAGGAAGGGAAGGGGGAAGGAGCUGCAGAUGGGCAAUCAGGAGGCAUGCCUGCCCUUUCUCAUGAAAGCCCCUUGGCACUGCGGUCUGUGGCAGAGCAGGAAGAGGCAGGAGCGGCAUGGCGUGGAGAGGAAGGGGUGAUGGCUUGCAGCGGGGUUCCGGGCGACGUGCAUGCCCCCUCCGCUGCAUGCACGCCCAUUGGUGCAUUCGUGGGCCCGGAGCUAGAGGGCUUGGACGUUGGAGCAUCCGCGGGCGCUGACCAAUCCUCAAGUCUGCUCGGUCAAGACGGUGAAGAUCUGACUGCGGGAGCAUAUGGGCCGCACUCCCCUCGUGGUUGCCCGCAAGGGCCCUGGCCUAGCCCAGCUACCCCCGCUCCUCCCCCUGCCCCGCUGGCUCCGUGGCUUUGGAGGACGGCGUAGCUCUCCGUGGGCCGGGCCCAGACGAUCUUGUAGAUGCCAAUGAAAUGGCCCUACCGGAUGCGGACGGGGGCGGUGGGGAUCUGGCUGAUCCAUUAAGUCACUUCCUCAUCGCCUGCUCUUCCCCUGCCCCUGCUGCUCUGCUGCCCACGCCAAUCCCAGAUCCAGGCAGAAGGGAUGCGCCUACUGAGAAAAUCACCAAGAGGAGCAGCGGCAGGCUGGCCGCCAAGCCGACGGCAACCUAGUCCACCAUGGAUAAGGUUCAACUCGUCCUGAUGAAGAAGGCCGGCAUCAUCGCCGGAGAUGCGCCGCCCCCCGAGGCCGCGUCGACGGCCCUGGAGCGCUACAGAGCAAUCUUCAAGCAGCCCCUGCCGGAUAACUUCAUCGGAGCAAUCGAAUCCAUGCUGGAGGUGACGAGCAAGGAGAAGAAAAGUGGGGGUGGAGGUCAGGGGCAGGUGCAGCCGAUCCCUGUCUGACCUGCCUCCCUGGCCAGCUGCUAGGUGAUGGUGUGUUCUCUUAGUUUCCCGAUGUUAGUGCAACUUUGGGUUGUUAGUUCUGGAUGUGUCGUGAGGGGUGUUCCUCGAAAUGUCCUGUUGGUCCUAGCAAGCCGAUCGAUCCCAAUGACGGUGACAGGCCGGGUCUGCUGGAAUGUGUUCUGUCGCUGUAAGCAGUUCAUGGUUGUAGUUCCUUGGGUCUGCUAUGAGUGGGUUUGUCUUGUUUUAUGGAUUUCUCCAUCCUAAGCUGGAAUGUGCGGGGACUGAACAACCCCGCGAAAAGGAAGGCCGUGCAGACUUUUGUGUCUGAUCUGAAAUGCAACAUUGUUUGUUUACAAGAGACGAAGAUCAGUGAUCUGACCAAUGCGCUGGUAGUUGAGACCCUGGGGCCAAGAUUCAGAGACAACUUCAUUUCCCUGCCGGCGGUUGGCUCCAGAGGAGGCAUUCUCAUCGCAUGUCCCGAUGAUUUCGAAAUCACUGUUGCUCCUAUGCCUGUCAGUGUUUACUGUGUCUCUGCCACGGUAAGAUGCAAAUCUGAUGGAGAAGUUUGGUCGAUCGCCGGUGUCUACGGGCCGCAGAUGGAAGCAGAGAAGAUCUUGUUCAUUGAUGAAAUGAAGAGUUUAAGCCAGCUUGUGCUGCCACGGUGGAUGAUGCUUGGAGACUUUAACAUGAUUUACAGAGCCAAUGACAAGAACAACAACAAUUUAAAUUUGCGCAUGAUGGGUCGCUUUAGGACUGCCAUAGAGGACAUGGGGCUAAUUGAUCUUCCACUCCUUGGAAGGUGUUUUACAUGGUCCAGUGAGCGGGAAAAUGUCACGCUCACUAAAAUUGAUAGAAUGCUUGUGUCCAGUGAUUGGGAGGCUUCAUUCCCAUAGUACCAGCUAUCACCAGCUUCGACGAAUGUGUCUGAUCACUGCCCAAUUAUUCUGAGAAAGAUGGAGUGCUCACACUACAAGGCGUUCAGAUUCGAGAAUCAUUGGCUAAAAGCUCAAGGUUUCGAUGACAUUGUCAACCAGGCAUGGACCAGGGAGGUCAAAUCAACGGACCCAGUGAGGGUGCUGCACACCAAGCUAUCCAGAACGGCGAGGGCUCUGCGGUUGUGGAACAAGCAGCAUACGAAGUGGGCUGUUUUCAUGUCGAAGGUGGCAAGCGAAGUCAUUUUCAGGCUUGAUCUGGCCCAGGAGGAAAGAGCUCUUUCUGACGAGGAGCGUCGGUUGCGUGGUCUGCUCAAGGUCUAGUUGUUGGGCCUGGCGGCAAUUGAUAGAGCGCGGUGGAGACAAAAUUCUAGACUGACGGAAAUACGAGAAGGCGAUGCAAGCACCCGAUUUUUUCACCAAAGGGCUAGUGGGCGGCGGCGAAAGAACCACAUUCCAGCGCUGUUAGGGAGCAGUGGGCUGGUCACAGACCAUAGUGCCAAAGCUCAAAUUCUCUUAGAGAGAUUCCAAGGGCUCAUGGGCACCCCCUUCUUCGGCACAACAAAGCUGAAUUGGGAUUUCCUUGAUUUGCCAAGAAGGGACCUGCAACAUUUGGACGCGCCGUUCACCGAGCAGGAGUUGAAGACGGCUGUUACUGAGGUGCAUGGGGAGAAGGCGCCAGGGCCAGAUGGUUUCACAGGGGCUUUUUUCAAGCGAUGCUGGUCCAUUAUCAAGGAGGAUCUGUUGGCCGCUGUAAACUCUGUACACUCGCUGCGUGGGCAAAACUGGCAUUUGCUCAACACGGCUAACAUUGCUCUGCUGCCAAAGAAGGAAGGAGCUCAACAGCCAGUAACUUUAGACCUAUCAGCCUAAUGCAUUCGGUUCCAAAGCUUGUGAGUAAGAUGAUGGCCUCUAGAUUGGCUCUAGAAAUACAUGGGCUUGUCACGAACAAUCAAAGUGCUUUCAUAAGAGGUCGAGCUAUCCAAGACAACUUUUUAUAUGUCAAGAAUGUUAUCAAGGCGGCUCACUCUGCAAAAUUCCCCCUUGUGUUCCUGAAGUUGGAUAUAGCUAAAGCUUUUGAUUCUGUGGGGUGGGGAUAUUUACUCGAGGUCAUGGAGGCAAUGGGCUUUGGGCAGCGGUGGCGCGAUAUGGUGUCGCUCAUUUUGUCAACCUCCUCGUCAAGGGUCUUGCUCAAUGGAUCACCAGGAGUUCCAUUUCUUCACAGAAGGGGGCUGCGUCAGGGGGAUCCUCUAUCCCCGCUGCUCUUCAUCAUCGCAAUGGAGCCACUGCAAAGACUACUGACUAUGGCCACAGACAGACGAAUUCUCUCGCCUUUGAGAUCUCAUGUUGCUCGGUUCAGGUCAAGCUUUUACGCUGAUGACACUGCUCUGUUCAUCAAUCCAACUCUGGAGGAUUUUAUGGCUGUUCAACAAAUAUUACUGCUGUUUGGUAAUGCCUCGGGCCUCACUACAAAUAUGGAGAAAACAGUGGCAUACCCUAUUGCGUGCACAACCAAUGAUAUCGCCCCCAUGAUAGCGCAGUUUGGUGGGCUGCCAGGAUCUUUCCCUUGCCAGUAUUUGGGCUUGCCGCUGGGUAUCAGGAAGCCGAGGAGGGCUGAGGUUCAGCCGGUGAUUGAUAAGAUUGCAGGAAAACUCUCUCCCCGAAAGGGGCGCCUGAUGAACAGAAUGGGAAGGUUGAUCUACAUCAACUCGGUCGUCACAGCCACAACCACCUUUUUCUUGACGGUUCUCCAACCAGACAAGUGGUUCAUCAAAAGAGUUGACAAGCUCAGGAGAAAUUUCCUAUGGGAGUCGGAGGAUGCAUCGACUGGUGGCAAAAGCCUGGUAAACUGGGCACAGAUAUGCUCCCCCAAAAAAUAUGGAGGCCUUGGGGUGAAGAACAUCGACUGUUUCAGCAGGGCGCUUCGGUUGCGCUGGGAGUGGUUUAAAUGGGAUGAUGUUGAUCGGCCUUGGAAGGGUUCCACCACACCAACUGAUGUUGUGGACAAGCAACUUUUCUCGAGCUGCACUUCUAUCCAAGUGGGAGGUGGACGCCUAGCAAUCUUCUGGACGGAUCGAUGGCUUCAUGGGGAAGCUCCCUGCAUUGUCGCGCCGAAGAUUUUUAAGCUUGCCAGAUUCAAGAGACUUUCAGUCAGGGAGGCGAUCGUAACAGGCCGCUGGAUGCAUGGUACGCAGAGGAUGAACAACGAGGCAUAGAUAACUGAAUUCGUCAGGUUGUGGAACAUGCUUCAAACGGUGAUGCUGGUGGACUCAAAGGACCAGAUUGGAUGGUCUAUAACUGCAAAUGCAAAAUACUCGGCCUCCGCUGCCUAUGCAAUUCAGUUCGUGGCUAGGAUUGAACAACCGGGGUUGGAAAAGGUCUGGAAGUGCAGAAUGGAAGGCAAGGUUAAAUUCUACAUAUGGCUGCUCUUACAAAACAGAAACUGGACUGCGGAUCGGCUUCGUUCCAGAGGAUGGCCUCACAAUGAAAAAUGCAAAUUAUGCGACCAGGAAGAGGAAACAGCUAUGCACUUAACUCUGCAGUGCUGUUUCGCCAAGGAAGUGUGGUGUCAAUUCCGGAGAACACAUAGCACAAUGUGCGCUGCUGCAUCAGCAGGCUCCUCAAUUGAAGACUGGUGGACUAGGCUCUGCGCCACCCCGGGAGGGCGGGGUAGGGUCCAUGAGGGGAUCACUUGGGCGGCAUACACCGCUUGGAACUUGUGGAAGGAGCGGAAUCGGAGGGUUUUUGAGCAAAAGGAACUAACGGCGAUUAGGGUUUCAGCACUAAUUAAUGAGGAUGUUACCCUGUACCGAGCAGCGAAGGAGUCUCCUAUAAUUAUAGAGAUGUAGCCAGAGUGUGUGUAUAUUUUUACAACGUGUGUGUUGUUUUUCUGCCAACCUCUUCUGGUGGCCACAUGUUGUACGUUCUGAACUCCUUCUACCUAUAAUGCAAAGGCAGAGCUCCUGCUAUUCUCAUCAAAAGCUAUUCGUAUAUGGCAUCUUACCAAAAAAUGGCAGAUAGUACUCUGAUAUUGUUGUGAGUUUUCUUUCUUAUUUUUAUUAGCCUUAAUAUGAAAUAUCACCAUGUUUUUCUUUAGACAAGUCUGUUGACUGGGUUGAUGUGGAGCUGGAGAAACUUGAGAGGACAUAUGAGAUGUCAUUGUGAAGUGUGCUGAAAUUUGUGUUUCAGGAAGAAAAUCAUCUUAUACUGACACUGAAGGAAUAAGCUUUUGGAGUAAAUGACUAUUCAUACAGUCUACCACAACUUCAAGGACACUAUUUUCAGAACAAUGGAAUCACCACAUCUUUUUUUUGCCAGCCACCUCAAUCACAAAUCUUGGUUUGUUUCAAUGACACAUUUCUUCCUAAAAGUUUCAUACUGUAGAUGCUAACCAUCUCAUACAUGACAACACUCUUUCUCAGUGUUUUCUCAUGUUCCAAAGAAAUAUGUGCAAAGAAAUAGCUUGUAGUAUUAACAGGGAUCUCCAGCAGGGAGAAAAGUUGUAUAUCACCCAUAUCUGCCGGUGUAUAUGAAUGUGGUUUUUUGCAUCAAAUUAUAGAACUUCAAUAAAUUUAAUAACCAUAACUGAAAUAGUACUAUAUAUGAAUGUGGUUUUUUUGCAUCAAAUUAUAGAACUUCAAUAAAUUUAAUAACCAUAACUGAAAUAGCACUAUAUAUAUAUAUAUAUACAUAAACACUAUUCUGAUCAUGGGAUCAGAAUAAUAUUCUGAUCACAACCUGACCUGCCCCGCUAGUAGUACGUUGAACUUCCCUAUGAACUAGGUUGAACUUCCGCCAACAUUGCCCAAAUGGGGCUUGUGAUAUACCGUUGGAAAGCUAUGGACACCAAUAUCAUGAACCAACUUAAAUUUUUGCCAAAAUAUAAGCGGUUUAAGAGCAGUUUUGAAAACCGUUUUUUCUUCGCACAAAAAACGUGAAUCAUAUUUUCGAUCGCAUUUCUAAACCGUUUAUUGGAAUGAGGCAUAUAAUAUGGCGCUGGAAAGCUGCUUCAAAACCGCUCCUUCCAUAUGUUGAAAGUUUUCUCUAAUUCCCUAUGGUUAAAGAGUAAUUUGAAAAAACGUAAAAUUUUGUAAACCGAACAGCUGAGUUCAUUUUUUCGAUGUCAUUUCUAAACGCUAAUCCAAUGGAGGCAUAUGAUACGGCAUUGGAAAGCUUAUGAAAAUGCGCUACUUUUUCAUCUUGAAUGUUUUUUUCUUUCUAAUUUUGAUGGUUUAACAGUAAUUUAGAAAAUGGUCCAAGUCCUACCGAGUUCGUAUUUUCGAGCUAAUUUUUUAACCGUUCGUUCGAAUGCAGCAAAUGAUAUGGCGUUGGAAAGCUUGAACAAAUGUGAAACUUUUUGGUAUGUAUUGUUUCUCCCAAUUCUUUACGGUUUUAAGUCAGUUUCGAAAAUGGCGAAAAAGGUAUUUUCGCCAUAAUUUCUACAAACUUUAUCGGAAUGGGGCAAAUAAUAUACCACCGAAAAGCUACGGAAAAUGCGAAACUUUUUCAUGUUGAUGGUUUUCUCUGAUUCCUAGCCGUUUUCAAGUAAUUUCAAAAACGGCGGGAUCAUGCGUUCUGCCUUUAUCGCGAAACAGAUUCUUCAAAUAUGUACCACAUGAAGAACUUGAACUUCUCAGCGUGUGUGCUUGAACUUCACUCUGUUUUUCACGGGAUUUUUUUGCUCUCAGCUCUCCAUCCACUACUCGUAACUUUCCAUCCACUCAUUCAAAUUGAGCAAGUGAUAUACCGAUGGAAAGCUGUUGUAAACACGCAACUUUCCCGUCUUGAUCAUUUUUUCAUACUCGCGACGAUUUUAAAAGUUUUUCAUCUGAUAUUCAUUCAGUGUAGUAGGUGAACUUCCACUCUUUCACGUUGAACUUCUGUGACGUAUUUUUCAUUUGUAAUUUUCUCAUCCAUUCGUCAUGUGUUACACAAAUGGUAUUCCUUUUGUAUAAACCACUCUCACAAUAAUUUUUUUAACUUUCUCCGAUGGAGGACUUGAACUUAUAACAAUAAACAAAAUUAGUCUUUGCUUUUUUAUUAUUUUUAAUACCAAAUGCACACAGUGUAGUACGUGAACUUCUGGCAGUUAUCAAUGUGAACUUAUCUCGGUUACAUGAAAAUAUAUGAAAAUUUAUGAAUAUUAAUUUGAAUUUCUUAAUCUUUUUUAUGAAAUUUUAAAGCGCUCAACUAUUAAAAGUUGAACUUCUUGUUAUUUAAUUUUUGAACUUCUUUUUUCCAAUCUUUAAUAACGAGGAAAAUCUGAGUUUUUCUAUAAUCAUCGAACUUCUCCAUCUUUUUAAUAUGGACUUCCUGGUUUUAUUUCUUAAUUUUUUUAUGAAAUUUUUAAGCACUCUAUUAUUAAAAGUUGAACUUCUUGUUAUUUAAUUUUUGAACUUUUUGUUUCCAUUCUUUAAUAACAAGGAGAAACCUUUCCUUUUAAUUCAUUUUUCUCAUAUUAAAAACAGACCAUGUAGUACAUGAACUAUUUCCAUUUUUAUAAUUUGAAUUUUUAUUUUCUUUUCGAAACCAAAUUGCUCCCAAAUAAUAACUGAACUUCUUUGUGGAUUGAGAGAAUUAUUUUAAAACACAAAAAAAA